rnacentral:rRNA from 1 species
GAUGAACGCUGGCGGCGUGCCUAAUACAUGCAAGUCGAGCGAACAGACGAGGAGCUUGCUCCUCUGACGUUAGCGGCGGACGGGUGAGUAACACGUGGAUAACCUACCUAUAAGACUGGGAUAACUUCGGGAAACCGGAGCUAAUACCGGAUAAUAUAUUGAACCGCAUGGUUCAAUAGUGAAAGACGGUUUUGCUGUCACUUAUAGAUGGAUCCGCGCCGCAUUAGCUAGUUGGUAAGGUAACGGCUUACCAAGGCGACGAUGCGUAGCCGACCUGAGAGGGUGAUCGGCCACACUGGAACUGAGACACGGUCCAGACUCCUACGGGAGGCAGCAGUAGGGAAUCUUCCGCAAUGGGCGAAAGCCUGACGGAGCAACGCCGCGUGAGUGAUGAAGGUCUUCGGAUCGGAAAACUCUGUUAUUAGGGAAGAACAAAUGUGUAAGUAACUAUGCACGUCUUGGCGGUACCUAAUCAGAAAGCCACGGCUAACUACGUG